rnacentral:snoRNA from 1 species
UGCCGGUGAUGCAUAAACAAAUGCACGUAUUAUCGGAUUGUUCUGACGAUCAACCAAAUAUUGUCACUACCACUGAGGCA